GUCAAUGGCCAUGCCACCCUGAACAAGCCCGAUCCCGUCUGAUCUUGGAAGCUGAGCAGGGUCGGGCCUUGUUAGUACUUGGAUGGGAGACCACCUAGGAAGACUGGGUGCUGUAGGCA
rnacentral:rRNA from 1 species